rnacentral:rRNA from 1 species
AGCGAACGCUGGCGGCAGGCCUAACACAUGCAAGUCGAACGAACUCUUCGGAGUUAGUGGCGGACGGGUGAGUAACACGUGGGAACGUGCCUUUUGGUUCGGAAUAACUCAGGGAAACUUGUGCUAAUACCGAAUGUGCCCUUCGGGGGAAAGAUUUAUCGCCAUUAGAGCGGCCCGCGUCUGAUUAGCUAGUUGGUGAGGUAACGGCUCACCAAGGCGACGAUCAGUAGCUGGUCUGAGAGGAUGACCAGCCACACUGGGACUGAGACACGGCCCAGACUCCUACGGGAGGCAGCAGUGGGGAAUCUUGCGCAAUGGGCGAAAGCCUGACGCAGCCAUGCCGCGUGAAUGAUGAAGGUCUUAGGAUUGUAAAAUUCUUUCACCGGGGACGAUAAUGACGGUACCCGGGGAAGAAGCCCCGGCUAACUUCGUG